UAAGCAGGUAUAUUAUUUACUUGAGCUUGAGAAAAGGUGUUGGAUUAAUUACAAUGCAAAUGCAUACUUUACAAAUGCAGAUAUCCAUUAUCUUGGGGUUUAUCUUUUUGCUUGCAUGGGGUAUGGUGACUCCUGGUAAACACCGAGGCAGCUCUUCCAGCAUCGUUGUAACAGAUCUCUCUCACAGAAGAUCUCUGUAACACCAUCGCCAAAUUAAAGCUCAAUCCAACCAGCUAUGAAACUAUAGGACUCUGUUUAUUUCUGUACAAGACUGAGACCCUAUAUCUGGAUCUCAAAUUAAAGACAAAACAUGAAUGUUACAAGACUUUCAGGACUAUUAAGCUAUUUCAAUAGUAUUUAAGAUUAUUUUAAAUGACUAGUCAGAAUUUAUGCCAAAACCAUUAAGAUACAUGUUUUAUAAUCUAGGGCUAUCAAUAAUUCUACAUGGCAAGACGUUUACUCCAGAAGUCAGACCAGGUUAAGUAUUUAGUUAUUAAUUAUCUCAAAUGCCUUUUUUUUGUGUCUGUUGGGUAAAGAACAUAGAGGUAAUAAAAUUCAUGAGACAUUCUGCUACUUUUAUGCUGCUUCUUCAACGCUCAAAGAAACCUAGACUGUUCAGACACUACAAGAUGUCCUGAAACUAAGGUCUUGUAUUCGCUGUUAAUUACUCACAAUUCAACAUUUAAAAAAGCCUAACACAUAUUAUUAGCUAUACAGUGCCACAGUUGUGCAUUGGAAGUUUACAGACAUAACACAUCACCCUUUUUCACAGGAAUUUAUAAUUUAUACACAAUGACAUGACAGAUAGACAUGAUUAUCAGACAAGAAGUGCAAAACGACGUACAACUAGUUGCUUUCAACUUAUAUGCAUUAUCUUCCAUUUCCACAUUAUUUUUAUUAAGUGGCUCGUGAGCACCCCAGCUCACACUUACAUUUUGUAUACACGGAGCUUAAUACAAUCUUCUGUAGUUUCACAUUCAUAACAUCUUUAAACUAACAAUUACUGACAUUUAAAUUCAAGUGUAAAAUCCAGACUACAAGCAUUCUUUGUAUAUGCAUUCUUCAAGUUACACAAAACCUACAAGGUAUGCCACUCUUAAAUAUGCCUACUUCCAGGAAAAGGCUGCAUAAGGUACAUUUUUAUUAGAUUAUUCACAGCAAUAAAAUCAAUAUUGUGCAUACAACAGCAGAUCAGUCUCCUGCUGCGGUUGAGUAGCACCUGUUUUCAAAUUAUUUCUGAAAUAGUUCUACUUGCUUUAAUCUCCCACUGUGCUGAGCCUCAGCAGCACUCCAGUGUGACUCUCCAGGCUUAGACAUACUGCAGAUGCCAUUUUGUAUAAUUUUAUGGAUACAGCUCGCCAUGAUUAGAAAAUAAGUUCUAAUCACAGAAAAAACAUCCUAGAACAUCCAGUGCUAAAGGGACAUCAAUGACACUUCUGGCUGAUGUGACAAUGUGGUCAUCUCACUUUGGUCAGAGAGACACGAUGCAAUGCGAGAUGAACAGUGGGUGACUCUGCCCUUGAAGAUGACAUGUAUCAGAACUAAACAAUCAGCUUGUGGAGAUGCCAGAUCCAGUUAUACAUACAGAUUCCUGCAUUUCUAAAAUACACUUGAUGCUGCAGAAUUGUCACAAUUACUUUCUCUUCCUACAAUUUCAUCUGGAAAUCAGUAUUAAUCAAAUCUGUGAACAGAAUUAUCUUCAUGCAUCUUUUUUGAGAUUCCUGAAGCUUCAUCCUUAACAGGUUUGUGCCAGUGAAUGAUACUGGUAUCUCACAGUCAAAACACAGAACUUCACUUGCAGUAAGUGGUCCUAAGAAACAAUUCCGCUCCCAAACCAACCACCCCCCCCUUUCCUGGUACUGCAGAAGGCUUGGCAUGCACAAGUACCGGCAGGCUAAAAGUUACUGUAACGACAAAGAGAUAAAGUGGGGAAAUGUUGAACUGUUUGAGAGCUUACUGACUGCAGAGCACUGAAGGGCACUAAGCUGAACUUCCCAGGCUUUUACACACACAUGCAAAUAAUCAUUUGGGUUGAAACCGGUCCUGCUAAACUUACUUCCUUCCAAAGCAAGUUGGAAAGUUUGAAAAAUACCAACUGAACCCACUUCUGAGAACUACUGCUGUGAAAUGUUUAUGUAUUUCUGGCAUUUUAAACUAGUUCCAACAUUGCCUUAUCAAAUGCACCACUUUCAAUACUAUUCAGCAAAUUUUUAAGACCCCUGUCCAUGAAAAAGCAUCACAUCCAAGAUUUAGCUCUUCAAAGCCUCAGUCUCAGCUUUCACUAACAUUUAUACACACCCACAUUUUCUACAUACCAUCUUUGCGCAUGCUCUGAAAUGACUCAGCCUUAACCAUGCCAAAUGCAUUAAUAUUAAUCGGCAUCUCCCUGGAAUUCACAAGCAGGUUGUUUUUUAGCUCUCCCAUCACAGGAGUUCAUCCC
rnacentral:lncRNA from 1 species